UUGAACGCUGGCGGCAUGCUUUACACAUGCACGUCGAACGGUAACAGGCCUUCGGGUGCUGACGAGUGGCGAACGGGUGAGUAAUGCAUCGGAACGUGCCCAGAGGUGGGGGAUAACGCAGCGAAAGCUGUGCUAAUACCGCAUGUGAUCUGAGGAUGAAAGCGGGGGACCAGGCAGCAAUGUUUGGCCUCGCGCCUUUGGAGCGGCCGAUGUCAGAUUAGGUAGUUGGUGGGGUAAAGGCUUACCAAGCCGACGAUCUGUAGCUGGUCUGAGAGGACGACCAGCCACACUGGGACUGAGACACGGCCCAGACUCCUACGGGAGGCAGCAGUGGGGAAUUUUGGACAAUGGGCGCAAGCCUGAUCCAGCAAUGCCGCGUGCGGGAAGAAGGCCUUCGGGUUGUAAACCGCUUUUGUACGGAACGAAAAGGCUCUGGCUAAUACCUGGGGCUGAUGACGGUACCGUAAGAAUAAGCACCGGCUAACUACGUG
rnacentral:rRNA from 1 species